rnacentral:rRNA from 1 species
UACGAAGGGUGCAAACGUUGCUCGGAAUCAUUGGGCGUAAAGCGCACGUAGGCGGCUUCGCAAGUCGGAUGUGAAAUCCCUCGGCUCAACCGAGGACGUGCAUCCGAAACUGCGGGGCUUGAGUACAGAAGAGGAUCGCGGAAUUCCCGGUGUAGAGGUGAAAUUCGUAGAUAUCGGGAGGAACACCAGUGGCGAAGGCGGCGAUCUGGGCUGAUACUGACGCUGAGGUGCGAAAGCGUGGGGAGCAAACAGG